UAUUACAGGUUGCGAAACGGAAAUCAAUCAGUCAGUGUAUCUUCAUACGUUCAUUAUUGGAUUAGCUUGCAUUCCUACGAGUUUUUGGCUGCCAUUAUGUGUACACAAAUUGGGGAUAAAAUUUUUUUUAGUUUUCAGCUUGACAGCAGCUGGAGUAAUAACAUUUGGACUUUACUUCGUUAGAAGCUCGGCUGAAAAUUUAAUGUUAUCAGCAGUUUUUGAAGCAUUAACUUCCUUGAGUAUAAGUACUCUGUAUUGCGUUUUGGUUGAUUUAUUCCCAACAAAUUUAAGAGUAAUGGCUGCCGCAAUGUCUCUAACAUUUGGACGGGGAGGAGCGCUACUUGGAAACUUAAUAUUCGGAUUUCUUAUUGACUACAAUUGCACUAUUCCACUUAUUCUCUUUUCGGGAAUGUUAUUUUUAUGUGCGUUCUUAUGUUGGCUUUUACCAAAGACUGGAUCGGAAGCACUGGAUUAAACCUACAAUAAUGGAAAAAUCUUCUAUACUAAUCGUGUUAAUAUUAAUUGAGAAUCA